ACGAAGGUGGCGAGCGUUACUCGGAAUUACUAGGCGUAAAGCGUGGGUAGGUGGUUCGAUAAGUCUGUUGUGAAAGCUCCUGGCUUAACUGGGAGAGGCCAAUGGAUACUGUCGGACUUGAAUGUGGGAGGGGUCACUGGAAUUCCCGGUGUAGCGGUGAAAUGCGUAGAGAUCGGGAGGAACACCAAUGGCGAAAGCAGGUGACUGGACCACUAUUGACACUGAGCCACGAAAGCUAGGGGAGCAAACAGGAUUAGAUACCCUGGUAGUCCUAGCCGUAAACGAUGUUCACUAGGUGUGGGGGGUAUCGACCCCUUCCGCGCCGACGCUAACGCAUUAAGUGAACCGCCUGGGGAGUACGGCCGCAAGGUUG
rnacentral:rRNA from 1 species